CCUACGGGGGGCAGCAGUGGGGAAUAUUGCGCAAUGGGCGAAAGCCUGACGCAGCGACGCCGCGUGAGGGAUGAAGGUCUUCGGAUCGUAAACCUCUGUCAGCAGGGAAGAACGGUCACUGUGCUAAUCAGCAGUGAAUUGACGGUACCUGCAAAGGAAGCACCGGCUAACUCCGUGCCAGCAGCCGCGGUAAUACGGAGGGUGCGAGCGUUAAUCGGAAUUACUGGGCGUAAAGCGCUCGUAGGCGGUAUGUCAAGUCAAGGGUGAAAGCCCCGCGCUCAACGUGGGAACUGCCUUGGAAACUGGCAAACUGGAGUGGAUGAGAGGAGAGUGGAAGUCCAGGUGUAGGAGUGAAAUCCGUAGAUAUCUGGAGGAACAUCAGGGGCGAAGGCGACUAUCUGGCACAUAACUGACGCUGAGGAGCGAAAGCGUGGGUAGCAAACAGGAUUAGAUACCCUAGUAGUC
rnacentral:rRNA from 1 species